rnacentral:lncRNA from 1 species
UGCUAUAUAUAUAUACAUAUAUAAUCGUCAAUAUUCAUGGAUUUACAUUUAUGGGUCUAUCUUAAAAUACAAUUACACAUCAUAAUUUAAGUAAAGAGGGAGAAGAAAAUGACCUCCAACUCGAAUUCCAAGCAAGGAAUCCACCCAGAUCGGAGAAGGUAAUCUACCUCCUUUGCCAAUUGUUCUGGGCUCAGAUCUGGCAAGUAUGAGAGUGUCUCGAACUUCUUCUUCCCAGUUGGAGGCCAUACCUGUACUUACAUACCCAUUUAAAGUUACAUACAAACAUACACAUAUAACAAUAUAUACCACAAAAACAUAAAUGGUUGUAGUGUAUUUCACCUGCAUGCAUUGAACUCUUCCACCAUUGCUAGCGAGAGAAGUAAUGUCAGCAUUGGUCUUACGGGUGACGGGGAAAGCAGAAGUGGAUUUCAGACCGGUGAAGGGGGCGACCAUACUGGCCUGAGCAGGGGUGGAUCGGCUGACGGUGGCGACGGUGGCGGAGGAGAUCAUGGAGGAGGCCAUUGUUCCUGCAACUCCUUCACUUCAACUCUCUUUUUCUUAUCUUCCCAGCAAGUUAACAGUUGGAUGGUGUAGUAGUGCCACGAUAGGGGUAUUAUAUAAUGGUACAUUACGGGUAAGGGGAAAUCGGACGGUCAGAAAUUGGAAAAGGUGGUGUUGAGUUAAAAUUGAUCGUUGGAUUUAGAAUGGAG